UGGGAAUUGAAUUCGGGACCUCUGGAAG
rnacentral:piRNA from 1 species